UAACGUGAAUUGCCUAAUUUAAUCUUAUUUUUUUUUCAUUUUCAGAGACUUGAUGUGCAAACUCGAAGUAGGAAACAAGCAUUAGUAGUGAUGAUGAAAAACUCGUGGUGCUUCAAAGGAAAUCGUCUCUACCCGUGUGUCAGUAGUUUUGGCUUGUCUUGAAGAUAGCCAAGGGUCUGAUCAGGAUUGUCUUGUUGAACUUGAAAUUUAAGGAACAUUGCACAAGUUGAUAGAAUUUGAUCCAGUGGAAAGGGAAGCUUCUACAAAGAACUCAAGAUAACCAGUGAUAUAACCAAGAAAAUCCACUCCACUGUAGUGCCAGUAAAAACCAGUGCAAAUGUUGUUUGCAUGACUGGAAGGUAGCCAUAAGUGAAAUGGAUUAUUAGAACUUAAUAACGUUGCACAGGUGAGCAAAUUUACCAAGAUAUUUUAAUUUUUGUUUGUAUGAUGAAAAUCUAUUUAAUGAACAGAUCCUAAUGUUGAUCAUGCAUGGCACUGAAAUAAAAUGAUUAUGUAUAAAAUGACCUUGUAGUAUUUGUAUCUCAUGAUGGUUUUCUUUCAGGUUGAUAGAAUUUGAUCCAGUGGAAAGGGAAGCUUCUAUACAGAACUCAGGAUAACCAGUGAUGCAACCAAGUAAAUCCUCUCCUCUGCCAGUAAAAAUAAGUGGGAGUUCAAAUUAGAGCAAAAAAAAUUUGCUUGUCGGGAAGGUAGCCGUGAGUGAACAGGAUUGUCCAAAUUUAAGAAUAUUGCACAGAACGAUUAACUAGAUCCAGUGAGCAGAAGAGAUUCUAAAGAUACCCUUAGUCUUGAAGUAGAUAAUCAAUCUACAGGUAAACUGAUAUUUCAAGAAAAUCCUCUACACCUUCUGUUCAAAAUGUGGAUUUGAAUGUCUAUAAUGUAAAAGUUGUGGACAUAGGAAUAAAAGAGAGUGAGGUUGGACCAGUGAGGAGUGAGUGAGUGUUGCAUUCUAGGUCAAAAAAGGAAGUUCAAGUUUUGUGAAAAACUAUUAAGAUGGUUGAAGUAUAUCAUGAAAGUAGGAAACCUAUCUACAGUUGGCAGUGGUAACCACUGAUACUGAUGGUUGUGAGCAGGAGUAUCUCCUUGAAAUUGAAUGAUCAUUGUAAAAGAGGAGCCACAUUUUACCUUAUAAAUAUUUGGUGAUAUGGGAGGAAGAACAAAGAAUGGCUUCAGUUAUUAAAAGGUCCAAGAAGGAGUUAACUGCAGGUAAAUCCAGUUAAGGUGAAUGACCGUGAAUGAAGAAAUUAAUAAAACUGCAGUUAAGCCGCAAUUCGUGAUGAUCCCUUGAAUAAGUAACAAUUACAUAAAGGGCUUAUUAUUAAAUGUUGAAUAUUGGAGGUACUUGAGAGGAAUGAAGAGAAAUUUACAUAAACUGUACUGUACUGAACUUUUUAUCUUUGUUUUAGAAAUAAAGAUUUACCAUUGACCAACCUUUGAA